AGUGAACGCUGGCGGUAGGCCUAACACAUGCAAGUCGAACGGCAGCACAGUAAGAGCUUGCUCUUACGGGUGGCGAGUGGCGGACGGGUGAGGAAUACAUCGGAAUCUACUUUUUCGUGGGGGAUAACGUAGGGAAACUUACGCUAAUACCGCAUACGACCUACGGGUGAAAGCAGGGGAUCUUCGGACCUUGCGCGAUUGAAUGAGCCGAUGUCGGAUUAGCUAGUUGGCGGGGUAAAGGCCCACCAAGGCGACGAUCCGUAGCUGGUCUGAGAGGAUGAUCAGCCACACUGGAACUGAGACACGGUCCAGACUCCUACGGGAGGCAGCAGUGGGGAAUAUUGGACAAUGGGCGAAAGCCUGAUCCAGCCGUACCGCGUGGGUGAAGAAGGCCUUCGGGUUGUAAAGCCCUUUUGUUGGGAAAGAAAAGCAGCAGGUUAAUACCCCGCUGUUCUGACGGUACCCAAAGAAUAAGCACCGGCUAACUUCGUG
rnacentral:rRNA from 1 species